rnacentral:rRNA from 1 species
UACAGAGGGUGCGAGCGUUAAUCGGAAUUACUGGGCGUAAAGCGCGCGUAGGCGGCUUUGCAAGUCGGGUGUGAAAUCCCCAAGCUUAACUUGGGAACUGCAUUCGAGACUGCAUUGCUAGAGUAUGAGAGAGGGAAGUGGAAUUUCCGGUGUAGCGGUGAAAUGCGUAGAUAUCGGAAGGAACAUCAGUAGCGAAAGCGACUUCCUGGACCAAUACUGACGCUCAUGUGCGAAAGCGUGGGGAGCAAACAGG